rnacentral:rRNA from 1 species
UACGAGGGGGCGAAGCGUUGUUCGGAUUACUGGGCGGUAAAGGGACGCGCAGGCGGAUUGUUAAGUCCUCUGUGAAAACUGUCGGCUCAACCAGCAGCCUGCAGAGGAAACUGGCGAUCUUGAGUAUGGGAGAGGAAAGCGGAAUCUCUGGUGUAGCGGUGAAAUGCGUAGAUAUCAGAGAGAACACCGGUGGCGAAGGCGGCUUUCUGGCCUAAUACUGACGCUGAGGCGCGAAAGCCA